CCUACGGUGGCUGCAGUGGGGAAUAUUGGACAAUGGGGGGAACCCUGAUCCAGCCAUGCCGCGUGUGUGAAGAAGGCCCUCGGGUUGUAAAGCACUUUCAGUGAGGAAGAACGCCUGGUGGUUAAUACCCAUCAGGAAAGACAUCACUCACAGAAGAAGCACCGGCUAACUCCGUGCCAGCAGCCGCGGUAAUACGGAGGGUGCGAGCGUUAAUCGGAAUUACUGGGCGUAAAGCGCGCGUAGGUGGCUUGAUAAGCCGGUUGUGAAAGCCCCGGGCUCAACCUGGGAACGGCAUCCGGAACUGUCAAGCUAGAGUGCAGGAGAGGAAGGUAGAAUUCCCGGUGUAGCGGUGAAAUGCGUAGAGAUCGGGAGGAAUACCAGUGGCGAAGGCGGCCUUCUGGACUGACACUGACACUGAGGUGCGAAAGCGUGGGUAGCAAACAGGAUUAGAUACCCCAGUAGUC
rnacentral:rRNA from 1 species